rnacentral:tRNA from 1 species
ACUCGCUUGGUGAAAUGGUAAACACGAUGGAUUUAAAAUCCAUUCUUGAUUUUUAAGUUAUUGGUUCAAGUCCAAUAGCGAGUA